rnacentral:tRNA from 1 species
GCCUCGGUAGCUCAGUCGGUAGAGCAACGGACUGAAAAUCCGUGUGUCGGCGGUUCGAUUCCGCCCUGAGGCACCA